rnacentral:rRNA from 1 species
AAUCAACGCUGGCGGCGUGCCUAACACAUGCAAGUCGAACGCGAAAGGGGCUUCGGCCCUGAGUAGAGUGGCGAACGGGUGAGUAACACGUGGGUGACCUACCUUCGAGUGGGGGAUAACGUCCCGAAAGGGACGCUAAUACCGCAUAACAUUCUGUGUUUGAAGACAUGGAAAUCAAAGCUGGGGAUCGUUAGACCUGGCGCUUGAAGAGGGGCCCGCGUCCGAUUAGCUAGUUGGUGAGGUAAUGGCUCACCAAGGCAACGAUCGGUAGCCGGCCUGAGAGGGCGGACGGCCACACUGGGACUGAGACACGGCCCCGACUCCUACGGGAGGCAGCAGUAGGGAAUUGUUCGCAAUGGGCGCAAGCCUGACGACGCAACGCCGCGUGGAGGAUGAAGAUUUUCGGAUCGUAAACUCCUUUCGAUCGAGACGAAUGG